rnacentral:piRNA from 1 species
GGGACAGGUGGUGGCAAGCACUGGUGUC